UACGUAGGGGGCAAGCGUUGUCCGGAAUCAUUGGGCGUAAAGAGCGUGUAGGCGGCUCGGUAAGUCCGCUGUGAAAGUCCAGGGCUCAACCCUGGAAUGCCGGUGGAAACUGUCGAGCUCGAGUCCGGAAGAGGCGAGUGGAAUUCCUGGUGUAGAGGUGAAAUGCGCAGAUAUCAGGAGGAACACCAAUGGCGAAGGCAGCUCGCUGGGACGGUACUGACGCUGAGACGCGAAAGCGUGGGGAGCAAACAGG
rnacentral:rRNA from 1 species